rnacentral:rRNA from 1 species
UCCUUUGACGUUAGCGGCGGACGGGUGAGUAACACGUGGGUAACCUACCUAUAAGACUGGGAUAACUUCGGGAAACCGGAGCUAAUACCGGAUAACAUUUGGAACCGCAUGGUUCUAAAGUGAAAGAUGGUUUUGCUAUCACUUAUAGAUGGACCCGCGCCGUAUUAGCUAGUUGGUAAGGUAACGGCUUACCAAGGCGACGAUACGUAGCCGACCUGAGAGGGUGAUCGGCCACACUGGAACUGAGACACGGUCCAGACUCCUACGGGAGGCAGCAGUAGGGAAUCUUCCGCAAUGGGCGAAAGCCUGACGGAGCAACGCCGCGUGAGUGAUGAAGGGUUUCGGCUCGUAAAACUCUGUUAUUAGGGAAGAACAAACGUGUAAGUAACUGGCACGUCUUGACGGUACCUAAUCAGAAAGCCACGGCUAACUACGUGCAGCAGCCGCGGUAAUACGUAGGUGGCAAGCGUUAUCCGGAAUUAUUGGGCGUAAAGCGCGCGUAGGCGGUUUCUUAAGUCUGAUGUGAAAGCCCACGGCUCAACCGUGGAGGGUCAUUGGAAACUGGGAAACUUGAGUGCAGAAGAGGAAAGUGGAAUUCCAUGUGUAGCGGUGAAAUGCGCAGAGAUAUGGAGGAACACCAGUGGCGAAGACGACUUUCUGGUCUGUAACUGACGCUGAUGUGCGAAAGCGUGGGGAUCAAACAGGAUUAGAUACCCUGGUAGUCCACGCCGUAAACGAUGAGUGCUAAGUGUUAGGGGGUUUCCGCCCCUUAGUGCUGCAGCUAACGCAUUAAGCACUCCGCCUGGGGAGUACGACCGCAAGGUUGAAACUCAAAGGAAUUGACGGGGACCCGCACAAGCGGUGGAGCAUGUGGUUUAAUUCGAAGCAACGCGAAGAACCUUACCAAAUCUUGACAUCCUUUGAAAACUCUAGAGAUAGAGCCUUCCCCUUCGGGGGACAAAGUGACAGGUGGUGCAUGGUUGUCGUCAGCUCGUGUCGUGAGAUGUUGGGUUAAGUCCCGCAACGAGCGCAACCCUUAAGCUUAGUUGCCAUCAUUAAGUUGGGCACUCUAGGUUGACUGCCGGUGACAAACCGGAGGAAGGUGGGGAUGACGUCAAAUCAUCAUGCCCCUUAUGAUUUGGGCUACACACGUGCUACAAUGGACAAUACAAAGGGCAGCUAAACCGCGAGGUCAUGCAAAUCCCAUAAAGUUGUUCUCAGUUCGGAUUGUAGUCUGCAACUCGACUACAUGAAGCUGGAAUCGCUAGUAAUCGUAGAUCAGCAUGCUACGGUGAAUACGUUCCCGGGUCUUGUACACACUACCCGUCA